GUUACAGUACUGUUAAGUUCAGGAAAGAAGACACUACCUUGAUCUUUCAUAUUGUUGGUAUUUUUCUACGAGGUCUUAGCAUGUGGACUUAUUUUUUUAGUUCCAGGAGUUCUCUGGAGGUACAACAAAAGGUCCAUACACUGCCCAAUGAAGAUUCCCAAUCCACUAAGGCAUGAGAAUGGAGAGUCUUGGGUUUUGAGAAGGCCCAUCUCUGACAUCCUCGCCUUAGUGCUGGAUUUCAACAUGUGGAUUUAAGUGACUCAUCUUCACAUGGGCGUGGUAAAAUGUAUCCUGUUAAAAGACUUCCACUUUCCAGCGGCAACUAGGGGUGGUCACGCUACAUCAUACUGACCAGUGAGAUGUAAGCAGAUAUCUCUGUGAAGUAGCCAGUCCUGAAGAAGAAAGCUGAGACUUCUUGGCUGGCUUUUGUAGACUUCUUCAAUGGGAUAUCAUACAUCUGGAUUCUAUGGUUCUAGUGCAAAAUAUGGGGUGUCUAGAAAGAGAUUAUAGAGCGAAGAAUGGGGUACAGGCUUCACACAGCAAACGAUAAACUCACAAAACGGGUUUCAUGGAAGACAAACUCAAGAUACCAUGCUGUUAUUACGGACCGAAAAUUUUCUCUUUACUAUUCUUUUAUUAAAAGAGAACUUGCUUUUUA